rnacentral:rRNA from 1 species
AGUGAACGUUGGCGGCGUGGAUUAGGCAUGCAAGUCGAGCGAGAACCGUAGCAAUACGGGGACAGCGGCGAAAGGGACAGUAAUGUGUAGGUACCUACCCCGAGGUCUGGGAUAGCUGCUGGAAACUGCAGGUAAUACCGGAUAAUGUCUUCGGACCAAAGGUGUGAUGCCACCUUGGGAGGGGCCUGCAUCCUAUUAGCUUGUUGGCGGGGUAACGGCCCACCAAGGCGACGAUGGGUAGCGGGUGUGAGAGCACGACCCCCGUCAUUGGGACUGAGACACUGCCCAGACACCUACGGGUGGCUGCAGUCGAGGAUCUUCGGCGAUGGGCGCAAGCCUGACCGAGCGACGCCGCGUGCGGGAUGAAGGCCUUCGGGUUGUAAACCGCUGUCGUAGAGGAGGAAAUGCAGGGGGGUUCUCCCUUCUGUUUGACCUAUUCUAGGAGGAAGGACGGGCUAAGUUCGUGCCAGCCGCCGCUGUAA